rnacentral:tRNA from 1 species
GGGGAUUUAGCUCAGCGGCACAGCACCUGCCUGGCAAGCAUGAGGUCCUGAGUUCAAUCCCCA